ACCAGCUCCUGUGGACGACAGCGACUCGGACUUCAACAGUCGCUGUAGAGGACCUGUUUGCGUAUACAAAUUGUAUAUACAUUUUGUGACCAGCAGGACUGAAGAGCCCAGGAUCAACUUCCCAAAUAUUUGAUGUGGUUGGUGAUCACUCAGGUGGUAUCUCUAGCACCAGGUUCUAAUUCAUACCUGGCUGCCUUAUGAUUUGAUUGUAUUAAUAAAGCUGUAGAUGACUGUACCAGAGGUAAGUUCACAAUUCUUAACGGCAUCAACAAAACUUGUAUUUUAAAUAUUCAAUUCACUUAUUCAGUUGUUCAUAUAUGAUUACUUCUACUAACUCUUUUGUUUCUGUUUGUCUCCAUAAAGUGUUGAUGAUUAUUCCAGAUUAAAGUGAUUGUCCAUGAAAAAGGAGAAUGAAGACGCCACAUCAAGAGAAGAUGUUUACAUCCCAGACCAGAUGAGAAGGAUGGAUGACUACAGGACCAGCUGGAGAGCGGUGGUCGUCUCUCU